UACGUAGGGCGCAAGCGUUUGUCCGGAAUUAUUGGGCGUAAAGAGCUCGUAGGCGGCUUGUCACGUCGGGUGUGAAAGCCCGGGGCUUAACCCCCGGGUCUGCAUUCGAUACGGGCAGGCUAGAGUGUGGUAGGGGGAGAUCGGAAUUCCUGGUGUAGCGGUGAAAUGCGCAGAUAUCAGGAGGAACACCGGUGGCGAAGGCGGAUCUCUGGGCCAUUACUGACGCUGAGGAGCGAAAGCGUGGGGAGCGAACAGG
rnacentral:rRNA from 1 species